rnacentral:sRNA from 1 species
GCUCAUGUAGUUUCUAACAAUUCUUCCAUGUAGCUCUUAACAUUCUUCCACUCCAUGCUCCGCACUCACAUAGUCUCUAACAAUUCUUCUGUGUAGCUCCUUACAUUCUCCCACUCUGUGUUCCAUGCUUGUGUAGUCUCUAAUGAUUCUUCUGCAAAGCUUCUUAUGUUCUUCUGCUCUGUGUUCUGCACUUAUGUAGUCUCUAACAAUUCUUCUGCAUAGUCCUCAAUGAUUCCCCCACCCCACAUUCCGCACUUGUGUAGCUUCUAACAAUUCUUAUGUGUAUCUCUUAAUGUUCUUCCACUCCACACUCCACUGUGGAAUGGCUUCUGAUAUUCUUCCACUCUGAACUUUCCUCUAUAAGAACCCUCUUUGUAUGAUCUCUUCUUCUGAUUUCUUUUCUCUUUCUUUUCUUAAUCAAUUUGUAAUCUGUAAUUAGAAUAGUAUCAAAUCAUUAAUCAAAGUAUG